CCUACGGGAGGCAGCAGUGGGGGAUAUUGCACAAUGGGGGAAACCCUGAUGCAGCGACGCCGCGUGGGCGAAGAAGUAUUUCGGUAUGUAAAGCCCUAUCAGCAGGGAAGAAGAAAUGACGGUACCUGAGUAAGAAGCCCCGGCUAAAUACGUGCCAGCAGCCGCGGUAAUACGUAUGGUGCAAGCGUUAUCCGGAUUUACUGGGUGGAAAGGGAGCGCAGGCGGCACGGCAAGCCUGAUGUGAAAGCCCGCGGCCCAACCGCGGGACUGCAUUGGGAACUACCGGGCUGGAGUGCCGGAGAGGUAGGCGGAAUUCCUAGUGUAGCGGUGAAAUGCGUAGAGAUUAGGAGGAACACCAGUGGCGAAGGCGGCCUACUGGACGGUGACUGACGCUGAGGCUCGAAAGCGUGGGGAGCAAACAGGAUUAGAUACCCUAGUAGUC
rnacentral:rRNA from 1 species